UUUAAAAUGCCCUGUUUGAUUUUUUUUUCUGUGCUCAGCAUUGUUUGGUCAAUGUCCAGCCAGUGCACUUUCUCACCGAGCAGAAACCUUGAAAGACCCUCGACCCAACGCCACAGACCAUCGAUCUGGUGAUGGGAACCGUUCGCCAUCUCCUACGACACGUCCGACCUGGCAAGAUGAGAGAUCAGCUGCACUGCUUCGGUCAGCCGGGCCCUGCCGUUGAGCUGAGACGAGGAGAUUAAUGGUAGAAAAGAAGAGUGGAGUCCUGUGAAAGGUAAAGUUAUGACACAACCAACACUCUCAGCUCAUCACCAAUUCAAUCAGCUGUUCUAGUGAAACCCCAUCCAGCUACACAGCACUUUUCUUUGUCCUUCAUGUGCAUUUCAGAACUGGGAAGUUGAAUCGGUUGUAUUCUCUUGUCAAGUCAAGCUUUUCUAGAUGGCUCGAGACACAAAAAAUCAAAAGGCAAAAAUUAAAAACUGGCAAAGUCUAAUGUCAUAAAAUAGUUCUUUUCAUUCACCAGACUUCAAGUUG